rnacentral:lncRNA from 1 species
GCUUGCUAUUGGCUAUAUGCCUUAGCCUGAAAAAUUUCAAUAUUAAAUUUAGCAUUUAACUAUAUUGCUUAAGCUUUUGAAAUAGACAUCGCAGUUUAUUGAUAUUCAAAUUUAUUAAGAUUCACUGCCUAUGUGACAUGUUUUGGUUAUGAUGAAAGACAAGUAUAAAGUGCCAUUAGAGUAAAAGUGUAUUUGUUUUAUAAAACUGUGCAGUAGUUUUACACAACUAUAUACAGUGUUACUAAACUGCAUGCUAAAAGUUUCUGUUGACUGUUAGAAUGGUGGCUUGUAAUUGGGGGUAUCUGGCUAGGAUUUGACAUUUAAAUAUUUACAAGUGCAUUAGGUCUCUUAGGUUUAGUUUAAGACCAACAUGAGCGAGUGAGAUAAACUCGACUAUAGCUUAGGUUAAGGCAUCAAGCGUGGAAUGCGUGCGUGCACUAGACCCCUCGCUCAGGAUCGGAUCCCAAACCUUUUUUCAAUACCAAAUGUGAAAUUACCCCCACCUUACCACAUCGUUGAAGAAUUAUGGUGGAUAUCUUGGGCAAAUGUGCAAUACUAUGAGGGAUAUCUUGGGCAAAU